AAAAAAUGUAAUUUACUAUAUAAACAAGUGCGCUUGCUACAUUAUUCUUUAAUCAAAAAGUUAAGGGGUCAGCCACGGUGGUUAUGUGAAUUAGUACGUAUGCUACUGCCAGAGUCUUUUUAGACUUUGCGACCUCGAGAUCAAAACUCGUUGAUAAAGAACCUUACUCUUAUGUCCUAUUAAUUUAGGCGAUUGGCGUAAGGGCCGACGAUACGAGAAAUUUAUUAUAUUAGCGUUUUAUUAUAUGAUUGAAAUUAAAGUUACAUUAGUUCCAGUUAAUAUUCAGUAAUUCACCUUCGUUUUGCACACCUUUAGUUGAUGUCGGUGUAUACUGAAAAUAGUAAAGUGCCAGUGUGGAGUAAAC